rnacentral:rRNA from 1 species
UUUUAUGGAGAGUUUGAUCCUGGCUCAGAGUGAACGCUGGCGGCGUGCCUAAUACAUGCAAGUCGAACGAUGAAGCUUCUAGCUUGCUAGAAGUGGAUUAGUGGCGCACGGGUGAGUAAGGUAUAGUUAAUCUGCCCUACACAAGAGGACAACAGUUGGAAACGACUGCUAAUACUCUAUACUCCUGCUUAACACAAGUUGAGUAGGGAAAGUUUUUCGGUGUAGGAUGAGACUAUAUAGUAUCAGCUAGUUGGUGAGGUAAUGGCUCACCAAGGCUAUGACGCUUAACUGGUCUGAGAGGAUGAUCAGUCACACUGGAACUGAGACACGGUCCAGACUCCUACGGGAGGCAGCAGUAGGGAAUAUUGCGCAAUGGGGGAAACCCUGACGCAGCAACGC